rnacentral:rRNA from 1 species
CGAACGGGUGAGUAACGCGUGAGGAACCUGCCUCAAAGAGGGGGACAACAGUUGGAAACGACUGCUAAUAUCGCAUAAGCCCACGGGUCGGCAUCGAUCUGAGGGAAAAGGAGUGAUCCGCUUUGAGAUGGCCUCGCGUCCGAUUAGCUAGUUGGUGAGGUAACGGCCCACCAAGGCGACGAUCGGUAGCCGGACUGAGAGGUUGAACGGCCACAUUGGGACUGAGACACGGCCCAG